GAUGAACGCUGUCGGCGUGCCUAAUACAUGCAAGUCGAGCGAAGAGGGGACGGGUGAGUAACACGUGGAUCACCUCGUAUGAGACUGGGAUAACUUAGGGAAACCGGAGCUAAACCGGAUAAUUAAAGAUAGCUCCGCGCUGAUUUAGCUAGUUGGUAAGGUAAAGGAUUACAAAGGCAACGAUGCAUAGCCGACCUGAGAGAGUGAUCGGCGACACUGGAAUUGAGACACGGUCCAGAAUCCUACGAGAUGCAGCAGUAGGGAAUCUUCCGCAAUGGGCGAAAGCCUGACGGAGCAACGCCGCGUGAGUGAUGAAUGUCUUCGGAUCGUAAAACACUGUUAUUAGGGAAGCGGUACCUAAUCAGAAAGCCCCGGCUAACUACGUGCCAGCAGCCGCGGUAAUAC
rnacentral:rRNA from 1 species